AGCCAAACAGAAGCUCUGUCU
rnacentral:piRNA from 1 species